ACGCUCGACACCUACGGGAGGCUGCAGUGGGGAAUAUUGGGCAAUGGGCGCAAGCCUGACCCAGCAACGCCGCGUGAGUGAUGAAGGUCUUCGGAUUGUAAAACUCUUUAAGCAGGGAAGAAGAAAGUGACGGUACCUGCAGAAUAAGCAUCGGCUAACUACGUGCCAACAGCCGCGGUAAUCUGAGCGGGCUGGCAAGGC
rnacentral:rRNA from 1 species